UGUUGUAUUCGAACAAGUAGGAGGUGGAUCGCGUUCGUUUCGUUAGUGAAAUUUUCCGGUAUAUUGUGUAGUAUUUAACGUUUGUUCAUGUACGUCUCGUUUCACACGGAAGUUUUUUGAAAACUGUGAAAAAUCUCAUACUUUCAAUCGUCAUACUCGUGAAUAUACACUUUGUUUCAUUUUGGUGGCUGAAAGGAAAGGAACGAAGAAUCAUAUACGCGCCGGCGUACGAUGCUGCUUUGACGUAAUAAUAUUACGUCAGAACAUGGUCUGUGGUACGCAAGAGGGAUAGUACGCGUGGGUGUGCUCUGGAAAGGACGAAGGGGGAGCAGAGGGAGAGCUGUAGAGGGGUUGGAACGUCAAUAGGAGAAUCCUUCAGGUGCAUAGUGGGAGAAACGUAGAGAUGGGCGCUAGGGGUGGAAUCAGGGCCGUACUUUUAGACGUACCCCUGGGUAAUUCACCAACCAGUCUUCAUUUUUAUACACGACUUACCCAGUAAUUUUUAUGUAAGUAUAACACGCGUAAUGUAGUUUUUCUAAUAUAAGUAUAAUGUACGCAAAAGUAAUUCAAA